AUGUUUCAGCUUCCCAUUGAAAUGGCCAAGCAAGUCUAUGAAUGCAACUGGGUUCCUUCUCGGGUCACUGAAGAUCAGUUAAAUAGAUGUGUCGCAACUGGCGCUUUAGCCAAGAAAGAGGUCAUUCACUGGAGGGCCCCUGGUACGGAAAAUCCUCCUGAACCCAAGGAUGGAGACGUAAUCGUUUUUGUUGACCAUCUGGGUCGAGGCUUUAGCCCUCCCGGUUCAAAAUUCUUCCGAGAUGUGCUUGCCAGUUUUCAGCUUCAGCCUCAGGACAUCGGUCCAAACUCUGUGUCCAACAUCUGCCAUUUCCAAGUCUUUUGUGAGGCUUAUCUUCAAGAGGAGCCCACAGUUGAAUUGUUUAGGGAUUUCUUCCACUUCAACCGUCGCACAGAAUUUAUAGAUGGACCCAAUACUGAACUCGGUGGAAUGGCGGUUCAAAAAAAAGGAAGGAAGUCUGAUUCCCUCACGCCAAGCUUCAUAGUCACCCCAAGGAGUGGAACCAGACUUGGUUUUAUUGCAAAGACACAUCUCCAACUGAUGAAAAUCCUUUACCGGGUUACCGCCCUCAUCGUCUUAGCAAUACACAUCCCUUUCCUCAGAGGUUAA
rnacentral:rRNA from 1 species